GCGCAAUACAAGUGCCUGCAUUGAUCCUGUGACGCAAUACCGUAGUGCCGCAUUGGGAGAAGAAACUGCAAGAGGCAUAGACGUUCCUACGUCGAACACGUACUCUUAAGUAGCAAUGGAGGGGGACUUUCCGGAUGAAGAUCCGGACGAGCCAGCUGUGGCGCGGACAUCGCUGUCACGGGCAGAGACGAUGCAGCUCCAAAUGACAGCCCCAUUUGCUUCUAAGCCGUUGAUGGACGCGAGCAGCCGUAAGGCUCUCGGCCACCUCGGCGCUUCGGGUCGCUCCGAAGCCUAACGAAUACGUAAACGAUAACAUAUUACCAUGGUCGCAAACCCAUGGAUUUCAAGCUGUACUCACAGCACCCUUUUUGAAGGUUAUUUCGAUACUACACACAUCAUAUAGUUGUGUAGGUCAUGAUUGGUCUUCGUUCUGUCACUAUCCUUUCUGGUCUAUAUUGUAAUAACUUACAAUAAAGGUCGCCUUUGUGUG